AAAUUGAAGAGUUUGAUCAUGGCUCAGAUUGAACGCUGGCGGCAGGCCUAACACAUGCAAGUCGAACGGUAACAGGAAGCAGCUUGCUGCUUUGCUGACGAGUGGCGGACGGGUGAGUAAUGUCUGGGAAACUGCCUGAUGGAGGGGGAUAACUACUGGAAACGGUGGCUAAUACCGCAUAAUGUCGCAAGACCAAAGAGGGGGACCUUCGGGCCUCUUGCCAUCAGAUGUGCCCAGAUGGGAUUAGCUUGUUGGUGAGGUAACGGCUCACCAAGGCGACGAUCCCUAGCUGGUCUGAGAGGAUGACCAGCCACACUGGAACUGAGACACGGUCCAGACUCCUACGGGAGGCAGCAGUGGGGAAUAUUGCACAAUGGGCGCAAGCCUGAUGCAGCCAUGCCGCGUGUAUGAAGAAGGCCUUCGGGUUGUAAAGUACUU
rnacentral:rRNA from 2 species